rnacentral:rRNA from 1 species
CGCUGAGGCACGAAAGCGUGGGGAUCGAAGGGGAUUAGAUACCCCUGUAGUCCACGCCGUAAACGUUGUACACUAGGUCUUGGGGGAAUUCGACCUCCUCAGGGCUCAAGCUAACGCGAUAAGUGUACCGCCUGAGGACUACGGCCGCAAAGCUAAAACUCAAAGGAAUUGACGGGGCCCCGCACAAGCGGUGGAGCAUGUGGCUUAAUUCGAUGCAACGCGAAGAACCUUACCCAGGUUUGACAUGCAGUGGACCGGGUGUGAAAGCACCCUUCCCUUCGGGGCCGCUGCACAGGUGCUGCAUGGCUGUCGUCAGCUCGUGUCGUGAGAUGUUCGGUUAAGUCCGGCAACGAGCGCAACCCUCAUCCCUAGUUACCAGCGGAUCAUGCCGGGGACUCUAGGGAGACAAACCUCCUAUGGAGGUGGGAAGGUGGGGAUGACGUCAAGUCAGUAUGGCCCUUACGCCUGGGGCUGCACACGUGCUACAAUGCCCGGUACAAUGGGAAGCCAAGCCGCGAGGCUGAGCAAAUCCUCAAAACCGGGCCCAGUUCGGAUUGGAGUCUGCAACUCGACUCCAUGAAGCCGGAAUCGCUAGUAACGGCGUAUCAGCAACGACGCCGUGAAUACGUUCCCGGGGCUUGUACACACCGCCCGUCAAGUCAUGAAGCCGGUUUACCCAACGUGCGUGACCAACCCUCGUGGAGCAGCGCCCUAAGUAAGG